rnacentral:rRNA from 1 species
GUCUACGGCCAUACCACCCUGAACGCGCCCGAUCUCGUAUGAUCUCGGAAGCUAAGCAGGGUCGGGCCUGGUUAGUACUUGGAUGGGAGAAGUAAGACCAGUACCCA